ACCGUACUCCUACGGGAGGCAGCAGUGGGGAAUUUUGGACAAUGGGGGCAACCCUGAUCCAGCAAUGCCGCGUGAGUGAAGAAGGCCUUCGGGUUGUAAAGCUCUUUUGUUAGGGAAGAAACGGUAGUAGCUAAUAUCUAUUACUAAUGACGGUACCUGAAGAAUAAGCACCGGCUAACUACGUGCCAGCAGCCGCGGUAAUACGUAGGGUGCAAGCGUUAAUCGGAAUUACUGGGCGUAAAGCGUGCGCAGGCGGUUGUGUAAGUCAGAUGUGAAAUCCCCGGGCUCAACCUGGGAAUUGCAUUUGAGACUGCAAGGCUAGAGUGUGUCAGAGGGGGGUAGAAUUCCACGUGUAGCAGUGAAAUGCGUAGAUAUGUGGAGGAAUACCGAUGGCGAAGGCAGCCCCUGGGAUAACACUGACGCUCAUGCACGAAAGCGUGGGGAGCAAACAGGAUUAGAAACCCCAGUAGUCCUUGAC
rnacentral:rRNA from 1 species